ensembl:lncRNA
GGGUAGGCUACCUUACGUGCAAUAUCGAUCAAUUGAUUGCCAAAUGAUGUAAGCCCUAUGCCUUACAUAAAUGUUUGAUUUGAAUGUUUCUGUUCAUUAAUUAAUUAACCGAACCCAAUUAAUCACUCACUCUGUGCUCGUGGUCGGAGCCUGCGGCUGGUGCGUGUUUCCUCACGUGGCUGAACACACUGUUCCCAUUCUUGUUUACGUCUUCCCAACCACAUUCUUGGCGACGCGACUCAUUGCUGGAAGUGAACGCUUGCGAUGGAGUCGUCGUGGGGUUUAACUCCGUGUUGGAGCUGACUCGUUUAAAAGUGCACAGGCCGUACGUCCUGGAUCUGACGAAAGACUUCUUAUUAUGUCCAUUCUUGGUUUUAGAAAUAUUCCCAUGCUCAUCAUCACAAGCAGCAGGAGUUCGCUCCGGUUUCCCUCGAUGUUCAUCAUCCUUCUCGGUGGAUCGAGGCGAUCCGCGUCUUCUACAGUCCACUUUGGAAAAGUUGCUACCGUUUGUAAAGUUUGGGAAUUUAAAUCGCCUGAAAGAAUUCCUCACAUCCCCGGGAGAUCUCGGAGCAGGGGCGACUGUUUCCUCCGGCGACUCGGUUUCUCUUUUGGAAACGUUUAUUUCGACCACACACACAGCCUUGAGUACUAGUAUAGGAGGUGGGUUGCCAUUCCAUCAGAAUGGCCUACCCCUCAGAGAUUCCUCAGUAAGAUUUGAGUUUGGGUCGUCUGCACGUAACAAAAGAGCGGGGGGGGGGGGUCCCAAAACCCCACUGAAGGUGUUGUUUAUUGUCUUGUUUUAACACCUAGCUCUAUCUCCCUCUCUAACCUAUCUCUCUUCUCUCGCUCGCUACCUCGCUCUCCUUCACCCCCCCCACACGUUUGUGGUUUGUCAAACAGCUGUGCAACCUGUUCUCACACUGGAGCCUGACCCUGAUCACUGACCC